AAAUCCACGCUCCCAAACAGGCCCUAAGAGUUAACCGGAAACCUCAGACCUAUGCACCAAGAUUUCUCUCUCAAUGGGGAACACGUUUUCUGGGAAAAUGGUAUUUCCAGUAAAGUGAUGAAAACGAAAACAGGUUUCUCAACAAGAUUGUUCUUGAAAUUUCAAUAGAAAAAGUAUCAAGUGUUAUCAGUUAUAUCUAAAAAACCCAAAAGAAACUAUAAA